ensembl:rRNA 5S_rRNA 5S ribosomal RNA
GUCUACAGCCGUGCUAUCCUGAACAAGCCCUAUCCCAUCUGAUCUCAGAAUCUAAGCAGGGUCAGGCCUGGUUAGUACUUGGAUGGGAGACCACCAAGAAAGACCAGGUGCUAUAGAUG